rnacentral:rRNA from 1 species
AUGAACGCUAGCGGCAGGCCUAACACAUGCAAGUCGAGGGGCAUCACGAGGUAGCAAUACUUUGGUGGCGACCGGCGCACGGGUGCGUAACGCGUAUGUAACCUACCUAUAACAGGGGCAUAACACUGAGAAAUUGGUACUAAUUCCCCAUAAUAUUCGGAGAGGCAUCUCUCCGGGUUGAAAACUCCGGUGGUUAUAGAUGGACAUGCGUUGUAUUAGCUAGUUGGUGAGGUAACGGCUCACCAAGGCAACGAUACAUAGGGGGACUGAGAGGUUAACCCCCCACACUGGUACUGAGACACGGACCAGACUCCUACGGGAGGCAGCAGUGAGGAAUAUUGGUCAAUGGACGCAAGUCUGAACCAGCCAUGCCGCGUGCAGGAAGACGGCUCUAUGAGUUGUAAACUGCUUUUGUACGAGGGUAAACUCACCUACGUGUAGGUGACUGAAAGUAUCGUACAAAUAAGGAUCGGCUAACUCCGUGCCAGCAGCCGCGGUAAUACGGAGGAUUCAAGCGUUAUCCGGAUUUAUUGGGUUUAAAGGGUGCGUAGGCGGUUUGAUAAGUUAGAGGUGAAAUCCCGGGGCUUAACUCCGGAACUGCCUCUAAUACUGUUAGACUAGAGAGUAGUUGCGGUAGGCGGAAUGUAUGGUGUAGCGGUGAAAUGCUUAGAGAUCAUACAGAACACCGAUUGCGAAGGCAGCUUACCAAACUAUAUCUGACGUUGAGGCACGAAAGCGUGGGGAGCAAACAGGAUUAGAUACCCUGGUAGUCCACGCAGUAAACGAUGAUAACUCGUUGUCGGCGAUACACAGUCGGUGACUAAGCGAAAGCGAUAAGUUAUCCACCUGGGGAGUACGUUCGCAAGAAUGAAACUCAAAGGAAUUGACGGGGGCCCGCACAAGCAGCGGAGCAUGUGGUUUAAUUCGAAGCAACGCGAAGAACCUUACCAGGUCUUGACAUCCGUGUAAAGCCGCAGAGAUGCGGUGUGAGCUUGCUCAAUACGAGACAGGUGGUGCAUGGUUGUCGUCAGCUCGUGCCGUGAGGUGUCGGGUUAAGUCCCAUAACGAGCGCAACCCCUACCGUUAGUUGCCAUCAGGUCAAGCUGGGCACUCUGGCGGGACUGCCGGUGUAAGCCGAGAGGAAGGUGGGGAUGACGUCAAAUCAGCACGGCCCUUACGUCCGGGGCUACACACGUGUUACAAUGGUAGGUACAGAGGGUCGCUACUCCGUGAGGAGAUGCCAAUCUCGAAAGCCUAUCUCAGUUCGGAUUGGAGGCUGAAACCCGCCUCCAUGAAGUUGGAUUCGCUAGUAAUCGCGCAUCAGCCAUGGCGCGGUGAAUACGUUCCCGGGCCUUGUACACACCGCCCGUCAAGCCAUGGAAGCUGGGGGUGCCUGAAGUUCGUGACCGCAAGGAGCGACCUAGGGCAAAACCGGUAACUGGGGCU